AAGAUCAUACUUCACAGGAUCACUUCUGUAGUAUGUCUUCACAAUCUCUUCACUCCAAUUUGGAGUUAAUGCGACCUCGAAGAUGAGUCGUGGCAUUUUGUCCGGAGCGUGAGGAAGACGAUUGAACUUCAUUUGGAGUUUGAUUGUCAUCGAUGACCGCUUGCCAGAACCACUCGUUGGUUUUGGUUAAGGAUGGGAUGCUAUCUGAGAGGG